GAUGAAGAACGCAGCGAAAUGCGAUAAGUAGUGUGAAUUGCAGAAUUCAGUGAAUCAUCGAAUCUUUGAACGCACAUUGCGCCCUUUGGUAUUCCUUAGGGCAUGCCUGUUCGAGCGUCAUUUAAACCUUCAAGCUAAGCUUGGUGUUGGGUGACUGUCCGCUUCACGGCGGACUCGCCUCAAAAUUAUUGGCGGCCGGUACAUUGGCUUCGAGCGCAGCAGAAACGCGAACUCGGGCCCGUCGUAUUGGCUCCCAGAAGCUAUCUUCACAAUUUUGACCUCGGAUCAGGUAGGGAUACCCGCUGAACUUAAGCAUAUCAAUAAGCGGAGG
rnacentral:misc_RNA from 1 species